UACGUAGGGAGCAAGCGUUGUUCGGAUUUACUGGGCGUAAAGGGCGCGUAGGCGGCCACCGCAAGUCGACUGUGAAAUCUCCGGGCUUAACCCGGAAAGGUCAGCCGAUACUGCGGGGCUAGAGUGCAGAAGGGGCAACUGGAAUUCUCGGUGUAGCGGUGAAAUGCGUAGAUAUCGAGAGGAACACCUGCGGCGAAGGCGGGUUGCUGGGCUGACACUGACGCUGAGGCGCGUAAGCUAGGGGAGCGAACGGG
rnacentral:rRNA from 1 species